CCUACGGGAGGCAGCAGUGGGGAAUAUUGCGCAAUGGGCGAAAGCCUGACGCAGCGACGCCGCGUGGGGGAUGAAGCUUUUCGGAGUGUAAACCCCUUUCGACCCGGACGAAAGCCCGCAAGGGCCUGACGGUACGGGUAUAAGAGCCCCGGCUAACUACGUGCCAGCAGCCGCGGUAAU
rnacentral:rRNA from 1 species